GACACAAUGAUUAUAAGUUCUCACAAGCAAAAAAUAACAUUCAAAGUAGUAUAAAUUUUAUUCUUUUCUGAGUAGCAGAAUGAUUACUUCAUUGAGACCCAGAACCUACAUUUUUAUCAUGUUUAAUUUUAGUUCACCCUCUUUAAUAAAUAGCUGAAGCACUGCAAUAAGGGUAUUAUAUGAUUAUCUCCUGAGUUUUUUUUUUUUCAAAUUACCAUUUAAAUAGAAAGAGAUUUAAAAAAUCCCACAAGACUCUUGGUUCCUAGUAAUGCAUUUCUCAUAUAACUCAUUUAGGUUAACUAUGUUUUAGAAAGCCCCUCUCUUUCAAUUUGACUUUUCUUAGAAAUUAUAUUAAAGAUGGAACAAUUAAGUGCCUCAGACCUGAGAAAGGCAGAGCUUUAAAAGGGCAGCACAGCCCAAAGCUCAGCUUGCCUUCUUAGUUCAAUUUCUCUGGGUUUGGGAGGCCUUGCCGAAGGCAUGAACUACAGUCCUAAAAUGUCAGGUCUGAUCUUACAAAUGCUUCCUGUCUUCUUGGUAAACUUUCAAUGAAUUACCCCACACCUCUUUCUUCUCACUUUCUAAGGAGCUCAAAUCAAAUCUCUAUAUUAUUCAGAGUUUAUUCUCAGUACUAUCAAUAUAUUUGGUCUCACACUUGCCAUUUUUUAUCUUUUCCUGUUUUUUUUCUAUAACCCAGAGUUUGUGGUGAGAAUUAUAUGACUAAUUCAUGUAAAAUAUGUGGAAUAGCAAUUAGCAUUAUUAAGCACUAAAUAAAAUACUACUAACAUAUAAUGAAUAGUAUUAGGGGGAUCUGAUGUGUAGACCCAUGCACAGAACUGUUCUGAUAAACUUGAAAAGGGAUUGCAUACUACUAUGUUCCUAAAGAUGGUGGGGUUAUGGAGUUAAAAGUAAAGUAAAAGAUUCCGAUCUUACAAAUCUUAAAAUUCAGUGAAGGCAAGGUGGUAAUGAGAGAACAGUGGAGUUCUAGUUUUGCCACAAAGAAUAUAUGUAUGAUAGACGCCAGAAAAAAUAAACAAACUAGGCCAAGUCAUUAGGCAGAGAAGCCAUAAGUUCUGCCUUGAGGAAGAGGCUUAUAAUGUUUUCCAUGAGAGAAAGUCGAAAAUGAAUUCCAUUCACAAGUAAAUCUGCAUUCAUUUUUUAACAUGCUAAAAAAUUCUGAGGAAAAAUGUCAUAGAACAAACUUAUAUGGCACUUAUCCUGAUGCCAUUUGAAAGUCUGUUACCUUAAUAAGGCACUUCCC